GACAGAGGGUGCAAACGUUGUUCGGAAUUACUGGGCGUAAAGCGCGUGUAGGCGGCUAUGUAAGUCGGGCGUGAAAUCCCACGGCUCAACCGUGGAAGUGCACCCGAAACUGCGUAGCUAGAGUAUGGGAGAGGGAAGUGGAAUUUCAGGUGUAGCGGUGAAAUGCGUAGAUAUCAGGAAGAACACCUAUGGCGAAGGCAGCUCUCUGGGACGGUACUGACGCUGAGACGCGAAAGCGUGGGGAGCGAACAGG
rnacentral:rRNA from 1 species